GACAGAGGCCCCAAGCGUUAGGCGGAAUCACUGGGCUUAAAGCGUGUGUAGGCGGAUCGUUAAGUGUCUUGUGAAAUCCCACGGCUCACCCGUGGAACUGCUGGGCAUACUGGCGAUCUUGGGCCAACUAGGGGCAGUCGGAACAAGCGGUGGAGCGGUGAAAUGCGUAGAUAUCGGGAGGAACACCAGUGGCGAAGGCGACUUCCUGGCCUGUUCUUGACGCUGAGGCGCGAAAGCUAGGGGAGCAAACGGG
rnacentral:rRNA from 1 species